GAUGAACGCUGGCGGCGUGCCUAACACAUGCAAGUCGAGCGAUCUUCUUCGGAAGAGAGCGGCGGACGGGUGAGUAACGCGUGGGUAACCUGCCUCAUACACAUGGAUAACAUACCGAAAGGUAUGCUAAUACAAGAUGAUAUAAGAGAUUCGCAUGAAUUUCUUAUCAAAGCUUUUGCGGUAUGAGAUGGACCCGCGUCUGAUUAGCUAGUUGGUAAGGUAAUGGCUUACCAAGGCUUCGAUCAGUAGCCGACCUGAGAGGGUGAUCGGCCACAUUGGAACUGAGACACGGUCCAAACUCCUACGGGAGGCAGCAGUGGGGAAUAUUGCACAAUGGGCGAAAGCCUGAUGCAGCAACGCCGCGUGAGCGAUGAAGGCCUUCGGGUCGUAAAGCUCUGUCCUCAAGGAAGAUAAUGACGGUACUUGAGGAGGAAGCCCCGG
rnacentral:rRNA from 1 species